GCCACCAUGAUUGUGAAGCCUCCCAGCCACAUGGAACUGUGAGACUGAACCUGAUUAAGCAAAGCAGAUCAGUGUCCGGGAAACUCCUGUGGCGUUCCAAUGCAGGAAAAAUUCAUAACUUAUCUCAGCAAACACUUACAACACCGCUGUGGUUUGUUCAGUGAUGAUAAAUAUGUUUGCCUUGUCAUUUCAUCUUUCAUCUGCUGUUUGUUCCACUUUCCUGGAUUGCAAAAUCCUUGAGCCUAAAGAUACUGUUACCUUUCUUUAUAACCUUCACUGAGGGUAGCAAAAGAUAAUGAAGAUAGUGGACAAGUCAUAAAUGAUUGAUGAAUUGAUUGACUCAGUUAAUAAACAUUUUCUCAGAUUUAUGUAUCUGUCUGCUGCAGGUAUAUAAACCACAAUACUUUUAAGGGCUCUCAGUUCAGUUGGAGAGACAUUGCAUUUCAUUAUAGUGUGUUAUUGAUGAAUCUGAGUUACCAAGCCAAUAGAAGAACAAAACAAGAGGUAUGAAAAUGUGCUCAACAUCAUUGAUCAUCAGAGAAAUGCAAA